rnacentral:lncRNA from 1 species
ACCACAUCUCCAGGGGGCAUUUGGCAGCUGGGGAGAAAGGGAUUUCCAGCCUCCUAGCCAUUUAAUUUUGCAGAAUGAGUAUUCUUUCCAAAAGUUGGGUAUUCUCAAGUGUGCGGAUAAAGCAUGGGGGUCCACAGUACAAUCCAGACUUUUAGGAAAUGGAUAUGCCUCUUUUUGGCUCCAUAGCUGGACUAACCACCUUCAAGGGUCCCCUACUGCUGAUGGCAGAGACAACUACAGUCAGCUACUUCUCCAGCCUCCUGCCAGGUGGGCUCUGCUCUGCUAGAGCCCAGGCUCUGGCUGUCUCUGCUCUGAGUGUCCCCUUUCUUCUUCUUACCCCCAGGACACCACCCAGUGUCCAGGGUGCUUGCCCACCUGUGGCUUCUCCACUGGGUCCUGCUGAGAUAUUUUGCUGGAGUCUUUCUAAUAGGAAUGCACUGGUCUCCUGCAUGGAUUUCAUUGGCUUUUCUGAUGAUAAGCUCUUUCCCAGGUACCCAAAAUGUUUCCCAUUGCCACCCAAAUAGCAUCUCUGGCAAAAAUAUAUUUUUUUUUAAAUCUCAUUGUUUUCUUAUUGGUAGAUAAGUCUUUGCAAUGUUGAUGAAGUUCAAUUUAGCAUUUUUUUUUAAUUUGAGUUGUGCUUUUGGUGAUGUCAUUAGGGUUCUUUACCUAACCUGAGUCACAGAUACUUUCUCCCAUGUUUUCUGUAGAAGUUCUUUACUUAGCUAGAUAUUUAUCUGUGAUUCACUUGAAGAUACUUUUUGUGCAAGAUGUGAGGUUCGUUUUCCACAUGCUGAUGUCCAGUGGUUCCAGUAGCAUGUAUUGAAAUGACUUUUAUUUUCAUAUUGCAUUUCAUAGCUACACAUCUCUGGACAAGGUGAUUUAUGUGGACUUUUCAUUUAAUCUUCUCCAACUCUGUGAGGUAUGGGGGUGGAUGUCUCCCAGUCCAUGACAGACAGGGGACCUAAGGCUGGCACAGACCAGGAGACAGAACCAGGGCAGCGUGAGCACCUGCCCAGGCUCACCCAAGCACUAAAAGGCAGACCAGAGCCCACCCACUGUGUGACCAGCCCCACAUCCAGUGCUCCAUCGCAGGUCAUCCCCAUCUUGAGGAGGACACAUGUGGCCAGCCCAAGGCAGCCCUUUGUCCUGUGAGCAUCAGUGCCUCCAAACUUCGCCAGCUCCAGGGAACACCCAGCAAGGCAAGCCCUGUCGCCAGCUCACCAUGCCUCAAUGUCUGAUUGUGCCUUUACCCUAUAAGCCCCUGAGUCACCUCUGCUGGUACAGAUGGCCGGGCUCCCUACCUCCAGACUGUGCAGACCAAGGGCCCAUGGAGAGGAAGAGGGCAGGAACCACGGGCUCCCUUGAAGGUUGAUAGACAUUUGACAAGAAGAAGAAGUGUUCAGACCAAAACAGAGAUGUCCUCCUCCAAAGCCAGGGCCUCACUUUCAACAGAAAGGAAACUGGUCCCAGCCAGGAGAAGCAUCUUGACAUGGCCCCACCCAUAUACAGGUCUUGAUGGAAAGGCCAGAGGACUGGGGUUUUGUUGCAUUUGGGGCUUCCUCGUCCUAUUCUAAACAUUGGUUUUGGACAGCCUGCUGAAGCCCACUCCUGUUUGAUCUAAUCCUUUGUAAGGUCGUGAGCAUCCCAAUGGUCUUGUGUUCCUUUUAAGUUCUCAGUAAAUAAACACAGU